GGUCCACCGUUAAACAGUAAAGGCCAAACGUCCUGUGCUGUCACCUCAUGGCCGGCAGAGGGCAAUGAAACCCAUCGGUCCGGCCAUGCAGGGCGCAUGCGUGGUCUGCUUCCCGCGGCCAGCCGGGUCUCCAGGGAGGACCUGAGUUUUCUUUACCGAGGGUGAGGGAGGCGCCACCGCCCUAGCUUUGGGGCUGGGGCCUCCGGGGAUGUUCCGGGUGGGGGCGUUGAAGAGGCCGCUCUUUUUGCAAGGCCCAAGAUGGCGGGCCCUGCGCAGGCCGCUCUGUUCCGCGCCGUCAGGGAGUCAGUAUCCCGUUGGGGCCGGAUGCCCCCUCUGGGCCCGGAGCAUCCUUGGCGCUGCCCUCCUAGAGCCGCGCUGAGGCUGAGGUGGCGCGGGCGGCUCGGGCUCCGCGAGGAGCGGCGGCAGCGAGGGCUGGAGGACCCGGGCUCCGGGGCUCCGGGGCGUCUGGCCUGAAUGGGACUGAGCCCAUCCAGGGACUGGGACUCCCGAGUUCUGGUGCGGGUGGAUCCUGGGCAGGCUCAGGACCAAGUCCCUCUCCUUCCACCAAGGAGCGCCCAGAGGCCGGCGGGAGCUCCAGGUUCACCUCCUCUUCCUUCAGGAAAUCCCACUUCCAUCUGGAUAUCUGGAUGAACUACUGAAAGCCACUGAGUGUCCUGCAGCAGGUGAACUGUGGCCAGAGCCCAAGGAUGAAGGGGGCUCCUUCCGUCUGUGACUGUGAAGAGGAAGCCUGAGGUAUAGCAGACCCAGGCCCCAGAAGGAUGGAAAAAAUGAGGUAGGGAGUGAGGUGACCUCAGAGGAAGACUGAGGUCUGCAGAAUCCCAGGGUCAAGGAGACAGUGCGGUGUCCUGGUGGUGUCCUUGAUAUUCGAAGAGGGGCGAUAAUCCAUCUCCUGAGUAAAAGCUUCAUAGGGGGUGAGGAGGGGAGAAGUAAACAGAGAGGAAGCAGGGAAGGCCAAGACAGCGACCAGCCUUAGAGCAAUUUUAACCAGAAAUGGACACAGACCCUGGACCCCAUCGCGGGGUUGCAGACCAAGGACUGUCUCUAGGCGAUGCAUAGCUCCCUUGUGGGGUUAGUGGGAGUAGGCAUUGUGACAUCUGCAGGGGUGUGGAAGGCUGGGCGACGGGAGCAGCUUACAGGGCUGGACCAGAAAUACUGAACUUCUUUUCCAUCAGUGAAAUCCACUUCCGGGUCAGAAAAAACUGCAAGUUCUGGAGGGGCAGGGCCUAGGAGGAGGUCAGGGCCUGAGCCUUCCUGGUUUGACCGUCCUACCCCCCGUGUUUCUGGGUCUGUCCUCACUUCCACCCAGCGGAUGUUGAGUAUCCUCCUUUGAGUCCCCACGAGUGUGUUGUGUGCAGUGGGGCCAGGCUGCUUCAUCCACUGCACGUUAAAUGUU